UUUUGAUGCAAUUUUGUUGGCUUUUCAGGUGAAAACGAAUCUGGUAAAACAACUCUAAUUGCAAAACUACAGGGUAAUGAAGAUCCAAAAAAAGGCUCUGGUCUAGAGUAUGCAUAUAUAGAUGUAAGGGAUGAAUACAGAGAUGACCACACAAGGCUCAGUGUGUGGGUGCUUGAUGGAGACCCUAAACAUGCAGAGCUCUUAGAAUUUGCUGUUAAUGCAGACAAUCUAGAACAUACGUUAGUCCUGCUGACUGUCUCAAUGACAGUGCCUUGGGCCAUCAUGGACCAGCUUCAUACGUGGGCAUCCACUCUCCAGGAUCACAUAGACAAGCUUAAUCUUGAUCCUGACAAGUUUAAGGAACAGCAGGACAGAAUGUCGCGGUUAUGGCAAGAUUAUGUUGAGCCUGGAGAUGAGCUUGAAGCUGGGUCACCCAUGAAGCGAUCGUCAAGAAACCUCGAGAAUGAUGAUGAACCUGUCUUGCCUCUCCCAGAGAAUGUUCUAACCAGAAAUCUUGGACUUCAUGUUAUAGUUGUAGUUACUAAGACGGAUUAUAUGUCAACGUUAGAAAAGGAUUUUGACUAUAAAGAAGAGCAUUUCGAUUUUAUUCAACAAUCAAUUCGAAAGUUCUGCCUUCAGUAUGGUGCGGCCCUCUUUUAUACCUCGGUAAAAGAGGAUAAGAAUUGUGACCUGUUGUACAAGUAUCUAGUCCAUAGAAUCUACAACUUUCCCUUCAGAACUCCUGCACUCGUUGUUGAAAAAGAUGCCGUCUUUAUCCCUGCAGGUUGGGACAAUGACAAAAAGAUUUCUAUUCUCUAUGAAAAUAUGCAUACAAUGACCCCAGAUGACUACUACACAGAUGUUGUGGUGAAGCCUCCAGUAGUUCGUAAGGCUGUUGCGAGGGAGGUAGAAGUUCAAGCUGAGGAUGAGCAAGCCUUUUUGGCACGGCAUCUGGCACAGCUGCAGGCAGGUAGUACUGGUGCUCCUAAUACACCCCAGGGUCGUCAGGAAUCCCCUCUGAGACAAUCACCAGCUGUUCAGAAGACCAGCGAGCGUCGAGUGUCAACAGGUGUCCCUCCUAAUCAAAUUGGCUCACCAAAGAAGAUUGAGUCAACAAAGCCUGGAGUUACUGGAGCAAAUGAAGGUGUCUUAGCAAACUUCUUCAAUUCCCUGCUUAACAAGAAGGCAGGAACUAAUUCACCUUCACCUGGGCCCAUAAAAACAAAUGGCUGGAAUACUGCAGAUCUAGAGAAUGCACAUAGAACCUUUACUGCACACACAAGUUCUGUCAAACACCUUAACUACUGGGAAUGCUUAGAAACAUUUGACUUGUACUUGCUGGAGUGCAGGCAAGAGAGAUGCAUCAUAAUCUACACCCAAAAAAUCCGAGAGCUAUUGCUCCCAAAUCUGCACACACAAAUCACUCCCUACAAAAGCAAAUGACUGAGCAGAUGGUGUAGCAUACCCCCAAUGAAAAGAAGGGGCACCACUGGUACACUAAGAGAAAACAAUAAAGCUGCUAUGCGGUCUGAUGCUGCUGCAGAAUUAGACCGGUUGACACGAUCCAAGAAACCAACACCAAAUAAUUCUACAGAGACAAACAACUCCUCUGAAUGUUGACUCUCGUUUAUUACCGUUAUUAUUUACUGUGCUAAGGAAUGAUGUUCUGGUGCCCCAGCCUGACUGUAUGAGGUGUACUGUAGUGGCCAAUAGGCAGUGCAGCGAGUGGCAUCCUAAGCAUGAGGCAGUUGGAUGCCUGUCUGGUUAUUACCAGCCAGAAGUGUCCUGGUCUCGGGUGCGAACCCUCGUAUUUGAGGUAUAAUAUGGGUAGCUUUUCAUUCCUUUCUAUGAUUAAAUGCUAUUUAAUUCUUACCUUUUAAAGGUACCAUCCUGAAAGUAUACAACUAAUUAGCAGCUAAAAUGUUGUAUAAAGACAUUUCAAGAGACUUCUAAAGCAAUUUCUGCUUAGUAUUACUGUGACCUUUAAUAAAGCAGUGUGCCUCGGAGCUUGUCACAUCCACAGGAGUUUAGCGUCCGUUUAUCAGUAGUGGUCAAGUUCUGGUGUGUGAGAAAGUAGCAUAGCAUGUAUGUGCCAGACAUUACUGGCACUGCAUCACCCCGGCUGUGCAGGGAGGUUCUAGCAGCCACAAGGAGCAAGUGCGGCAACCCAUGAAAGGGGGGGUGGGGGUGGGGGGGAAAAUUGAUGGGUGUGUGUGUCUUGUAUCAUAUUUUCUUAUUUAUUUGUUAAUUUUAUAAACACUUGCUUCCUUGCUGUUAUUACUGGACUAUGAUGCUUGUGACCCUAAUGUGUAUAUCUCAAAAGCUUAUCACUCGUAGGGCUCUUAAUUUUGAGCCCUGUAUAUGCAACACCAGUGAGAGAGAGAUUUAUGUAUAUUAUAAAAGAUAAAUUUUAGUCGCAUGAUUAAAUUAGCUACUCAGGAGUAUUUAUGUGAUUAUUUCUGACUGGCAGUCCAUAUGCUUUCACUAUGGCAUAGCAUCUGUUGCCGUAGUAAUUUUUGUCUUAAGUUUCCUUUCCUUUUAUAUUACAUGAGAAAUGAAGAUCAUAAUUUGACAUUUUUUCACUAAUUCUGGGACUAACAUGGAUAAAAAUUCAAUCUCGUCUGUAAGUUGUCAUACUAAAGGUUGGAUUUACUAUCUAAUAGUCUCUUGAGGCUUCAUUUGCAAGAUACCUUUUCAUGUUUGUUUAUAUAUUAUGGAUGGAAACUGAGAAAAUGCAUUGGGAUGUAUAACAUAAUCAUAGUGCAAACUGUAAGUUUAAAUCAUUUAAUGCUGCCAAAUUUUUAUUUGAGAGGCUUUGAAGAUUUAAAAAAGAUGAACGAUACAAGAUGCGACUGGUUUAGAUUUGGUCCAUAAUCAACUGUGAUAGGAAACUUAAAAAUGUAGUCUGAUUUUACUCUUGUAUCCUUGAUUUCUGGCAGGUCAUUUAACUGACUUAAUGUUGCCAUGAAUAAAGGUUAGGAAAGUGUAAGACUUGUGUUAUUUGGUGGUAAUGUAAUAAAUUAUUUAUAUUAUGAAGCUCGGCUUGUAUCAUCAGUUUUGAAGAGCUGGUCGUUGUGUAUUUGGCCUUAAUUAUUUACCACCUGUUGGAAUGUAACAAAAUUUAUCCUCACCAUCUUUGGUGUUAUAACAGUCAAACAGUUAUCCAGACAAGAAUAAGAUACCUGAAGUUGUAUAUGAAGGGAUGAUGAUAUUUCAGGUUUCUAGUACAUCCAAGUUUAACCUCAAUGCCAAAGCUUAAUGAAGAAAUAUGUAUAUGUAUAUAUCCUUGCCUUUCAACAUUAUUUUUCCCAUGUAUAUUUCUUCUAUUAACUGUCAUUCUGUUAAGUCCAGCUGUAAUUGUAUAUUUGGGCUGUUGAGGUAAGUUAAUGUAAAGAAAGGGUGUUUGGAAUUGUUUGUAGAAGCUUUAAUCAAUGGCUAUAUUGUUGGUCUCAAAAACAUUUCACCAGUGAAAAUAAAUCAGUAAAUGUUAAUUUUGUUACUUUUAAUAGAUUUCUAAUAUAUUGUUUGCUUUAAAAUCAAGAUAAAAUAAUUUGGAAGGUAAUUGUUUUCUUUGGGAAGGUUGAAGGCAGAAUGCUUGCCAGGCAGAACUUCAUUUAAAACCAAGUAUUGAGCUGGCAUAGCUUAAUACUGGUUAGCAAAUGAAGUAUACUCGUGCAAGGCAGACACAAUAAUGAAUGCAGAUAUUUUAUAAUUUGGUAAGGUUUAUGUGCUUGUUAGGCCUUCAGAAGUUCAGCUUUAUUAACCAGAUCAAGCAGAAUCUUACUAAUGAGUAUGUUGGCAACAGUACUUCAUUAAAUACCUACCAUCUUCAAAGGUAUAGACAAACCCGAGGUUGAGGAAUCGCUAUUUUUCCUUUGAAAUUCAUACUUUGCCACUGAAUAAAACUGCUGACUAUUAUGGGUUGUCUUGAUUAUUUAUGUAAUAUACUCUGAUUAAAAACUAAUUUGACUUAAUUAAGAUAGAAUACUUUAGCAAUGAGCUGUUUAUUGCCAGUUAGGAAACAGAAUAUAUUUAUCAAGAUCAUGUUAUAAUUUGAUGGGAAUUUUCAACACUUCAUAAUUCUAAUUUAACUUUUGUUAUGCAGUGAAUAUAGAGCCAGGGCGAUCAUCUGGACAAAAAUGCGGGUUUUACAUUGGAAAAAGUUUUGUUGCUAAAGUAAUAGCAUUUGUAAUUUUUUUUAUCAAAUAUUAGCUGAAGAAAUUUUUCUUUGUAUUAUAGAUCUAUUUUUCAUUUGCCAUAGUAGUGAAUUGUAAAAAUAUGGAAAUAUAAAAUUUGUGAUAACUUCA